ACUUGCUUUCUUUGCUGGCGACCGGCGCACGGGUGAGUAACACGUAUCCAACCUGCCGAUAACUCGGGGAUAGCCUUUCGAAAGAAAGAUUAAUACCCGAUAGUAUAGUAUUUCCGCAUGGUUUCACUAUUAAAGAAUUUCGGUCAUCGAUGGGGAUGCGUUCCAUUAGGUUGUUGGCGGGGUAACGGCCCACCAAGCCUUCGAUGGAUAGGGGUUCUGAGAGGAAGGUCCCCCACAUUGGAACUGAGACACGGUCCAAACUCCUACGGGAGGCAGCAUG
rnacentral:rRNA from 1 species